CRRSSSCUWAUCCSGRGAUUAUUGGGCGUAAGCGAGCGCAGACGGUUGAUUAAGUCUGAUGUGRAAGCCCGGAGCUCAACUCCGGAAUGGCAUUGGAAACUGGUUAACUUGAGUGCAGUAGAGGUAAGUGGAACUCCAUGUGUAGCGGUGGAAUGCGUAGAUAUAUGGAAGAACACCAGUGGCGAAGGCGGCUUACUGGACUGUAACUGACGUUGAGGCUCGAAAGUGKGGGUAGCAAACAGGAUUAGAUACCCUGGUAGUCCACACCGUAAACGAUGAACACUAGGUGUUAGGAGGUUUCCGCCUCUUAGUGCCGAAGCUAACGCAUUAAGUGUUCCGCCUGGGGAGUACGACCGCAAGGUUGAAACUCAAAGGAAUUGACGGGGACCCGCACAAGCGGUGGAGCAUGUGGUUUAAUUCGAAGCRACGCGAAGAACCUUACCAGGUCUUGACAUCCUUUGAAGCUUUUAGAGAUAGAAGUGUUCUCUUCGGAGACAAAGUGACAGGUGGUGCAUGGUCGUCGUCAGCUCGUGUCGUGAGAUGUUGGGUUAAGUCCCGCAACGAGCGCAACCCUUAUUGKUAGUUGCCAGCAUUCAGAUGGGCACUCUAGCGAGACUGCCGGUGACAAACCGGAGGAAGGCGGGGACGACGUCAGAUCAUCAUGCCCCUUAUGACCUGGGCUACACACGUGCUACAAUGGCGUAUACAACGAGUUGCCAACCCGUGAGGGUGAGCUAAUCUCUUAAAGUACGUCUCAGUUCGGAUUGUAGUCUGCAACUCGACUACAUGAAGUCGGAAUCGCUAGUAAUCGCGGAUCAGCACGCCGCGGUGAUMGUUUYYYCSSGGGGYYYUAAAACAA
rnacentral:rRNA from 1 species